UGGAGGGUUUGAUCUUGGCUCAGAACGAACGCUGGCGGCGUGGAUUAGGCAUGCAAGUCGAGCGAGGACCGAGGCCGAAAGGCCUUGGAGCCGAGCGGCGAAAGGGUGAGUAAUACAUAGAUAACCUACCUUUGGGAGGGGGAUAACGGCGUCCGCAAGGACUUUAGCGAAAGUGCCGCUAAUACCCCAUAAAGCUGCAGGUUGCAUAACUAUGCAGCCAAAAGGUGGCGCGAAGGCGCUUCUGCCCAGAGAGGGGUCUGUGUCCUAUCAGCUAGUUGGUGAGGUAAAGGCCCACCAAGGCGAUGACGGGUAGCCGGCCUGAGAGGGUGGUCGGCCACAUUGGGACUGAGACACUGCCCAGACUCCUACGGGAGGCUGCAGUCGAGGAUCUUUCGCAAUGCCCGAAAGGGUGACGAAGCGACGCCGCGUGGGGGAAGAAGGCCUUCGGGUUGUAAACCCCUGUCAGGAGUUAGGAAGUGCAGGGCGUGAAUAGCGUCCUGCUUGACUAAGGCUCAAGAGGAAGUCAUGGCUAACUCUGUGCCAGCAGCCGCGGUAAUACAGAGAUGGCAAGCGUUGUUCGGAAUCACUGGGCGUAAAGGGCACGUAGGCGGUCUAGCAAGUCGGGUGUGAAAGCCCCUGGCUCAAACAGGGAACUGCGCCCGAAACUACAAGACUUGAGGAUGGAAGGGGAGAGUGGAACUUCUGGUGGAGCGGUGAAAUGCGUAGAUAUCAGAAGGAACGCCGGUGGCGAAAGCGACUCUCUGGUCUAUCCCUGACGCUGAGGUGCGAAAGCUAGGGGAGCAAACGGGAUUAGAUACCCCGGUAGUCCUAGCCGUAAACGAUGAACACUAAGUAGAGGGACCGCGAGGUUUCUCUGCCGCAGCUAACGCAUUAAGUGUUCCGCCUGGGGAGUACGGUCGCAAGACUAAAACUCAAAAGAAUUGACGGGGGCUCGCACAAGCGGU
rnacentral:rRNA from 1 species